UUAGGAUUUGGUUAGGGUUUGGAUUAGAGUUUGAUUUAGGGUUUAGGAUUUAGGGUUUGGAUUAGGAUUUGAUUAAGGAUUUAGAGUUUAGUUAGGAAUUUAUUUAAGAUUUAGGAUUUGGUUAGGGUUUGGUUUAGGGUUUAGGAUUUGGAUUAAGGUUUAGUUAGGAUCUUAUUUAGGAUAUAGGGUUUGGUUAGGACUUGAUUUAGGGUUUAGGAUUUGGAUUAGGAUUUGGUUUAGGGUUUAAGAUUUGGUUUAGGAUUUAAGUUUUGGAUUAGGAUUUAGUUUAGGGUUUAGGAUUUAGAUUAGGGUUUGAUUAGGAUUUGAUUUAGGAUUUGGUUAGGAUUUUAUUUAGGAUUUGGUUGAAUUUUGGUUUAAGGUUUAUUUAGGGUUUAUUUUAGGAUUUAGUAUUUUAUUAUGAUUUAAGAUUCAAUUAAUUUUGGCCUAAAUUUUGAAUGAAGUUCAAUAGGAUUUUAACUAGAAUUAAAUUAAGAUUGAAUUGAGAUGUAUUUGAGUGAUAUUUGUGAUCCUUUUAAUAUUUCUUUAA
rnacentral:lncRNA from 1 species